GAAACGACUGCUAAUACCGCAUGAUACAUUUGGGUGGCAUCAUCUGAAUGUCAAAGAUUUAUCGCUGAAAGAUGGCCUCGCGUCUGAUUAGCUGGUUGGUGAGGUAACGGCCCACCAAGGCGACGAUCAGUAGCCGGACUGAGAGGUUGACCGGCCACAUUGGGACUGAGAUACGGCCCAGACUCCUACGGGAGGCAGCAGUGGGGAAUAUUGGGCAAUGGGCGCAAGCCUGACCCAGCAACGCCGCGUGAAGGAAGAAGGCUUUCGGGUUGUAAACUUCUUUUAAGAGGGAAGAGCAGAAGACUGUACCUCUAGAAUAAGCCACGGCUAACUACGUGCCAGCAGCCGCGGUAAUACGUAGGUGGCAAGCGUUGUCCGGAUUUACUGGGUGUAAAGGGCGUGCAGCCGGGAAUGCAAGUCAGAUGUGAAAUCCAUGGGCUUAACCCAUGAACUGCAUUUGAAACUGUAUUUCUUGAGUACUGGAGAGGCAAUCGGAAUUCCUAGUGUAGCGGUGAAAUGCGUAGAUAUUAGGAGGAACACCAGUGGCGAAGGCGGAUUGCUGGACAGCAACUGACGGUGAGGCGCGAAAGUGUGGGGAGCAAACAGGAUUAGAUACCCUGGUAGUCCACACUGUAAACGAUGAAUACUAGGUGUGCGGGGACUGACCCCCUGCGUGCC
rnacentral:rRNA from 1 species